ACUCUCCCUCCUCCUCCGCACGGUUCCGUUCCGCCUCGCCCGACGCCGCCCGCUGCCCGCCGCAUUUAGCUAAGCUGCGAGCUCACUCGCCGAGACUUUGAGAGUGACCGAGAUAGCUAGCUCGUGGCGGCCGCACGGGUGGCGAGGUGAGCGCGAGGCGGCCGGAGAUGGCGGAUCCCGACGGCGCCGGCGGCGGCGUCUCGUGGGAGUGGGAGUACAGGCUGCGCAAGUACCUCCUGCUGCUGGCCACGCUGGUGGCCACGGUGACGUACAGCGCGGCGUUCAACCCGCCCGGCGGCGUGUGGCAGGACGCCGACCCCGGCCGCGGCCGCGUCGCCGGCGACCCCAUCAUCCGGGAGACCAGCUACGCCCGCUACCUGGCCUUCUUCUACAGCAACGCCACGGCCUUCGCGUCCUCGCUCGUGGUCAUCGUCCUCGUCCUCAUCCUCGCCGCGCUGCACGAGCGGGGGAGCACCAGCCUGGCGCCGCUGCGCACGCUCCGCCUCGUCAUGGUGCUGGACCUGCUCAGCCUCAUGGGCGCCUACGCCGCCGGCACGUUCCGCGACGCGCUCACGGCCGUCUACUCCCUCGUCCUGCUCGCCGGCGUCGUCGCCUACCUCGCCGCCCACACGGCGCUGGCCUGGCGCCGCGCGCACCGGACGGUCGACAGCGCGCCCGAGAUGCUCCGCAAGGUGCUCAUGCUGCUCGCCACCUUCGCCGUCAGCGUCACCUACCUCGCCGGCCUCAGCGCCCCGGGGGGGUUCUGGGACAACGACGAGCGCGGCCGCCGCCCAGGCCGGGCCAUCCUCAAGGGCGGCCGCCACGACGCGCGCCUCAAGGCGUUCUUCGUCUUCAACACCACCGCCUUCGUCGCGUCCCUGCUCAUCAUCGUCAUCCUCCUCGAGAAGAAGCUCUCCUUCAGCCAGAACGUGCGGUCCUUCGAGCUCUACGGGUUCAUCGCCGUCACGCUCGUCGGCCUCGUCGGGGCCUACUCCGCCGGCAGCUGCCGCGAGAUCGACACCACCAUCUAUGUCAACUCUCUGGUCGGUGCCGUUAUCGUUUUCAUCCUCAUUCUGGCCGCCAUUGUUAAGUUCUGCGAAGAUGCCAUAAAGCAGAGCAGCUUGUGCAAACUGCUCAAACGCAUCCGUGAUGAAGUGUCCGGAUGGCUGCGUGACACAAAACCAUCUUGUUUGGGGCAGCAGAGCACUGAAGAACCAAACACCGGCAAUGCGAACGGCAGUGUUGAGCAGGAACAGACUCAAGCGUUGGAGAGGGCUAGCUCGCUUGUUCUGCUGCUCGCCACUCUGGCAGCGGCCAUCACCUACCAAGCAGGGCUGAACCCGCCGGGCGGCCUCUGGGAGGACGACGACGGCAGCGGCGGCGGCCGGUACAUGGCCGGCGACCCAAUCAUGCUGACCACGAAUCCCAGGCGGUACAAGGCCUUCUACUACUGCAACUCGGUGGCCUUCGUGGCCUCCCUGGUCGUCAUCGUGCUUGUCCGGAACAAGACCCUGCACCACCACAACGCUCUGGAGACCGCCAUGAUUCUGGACCUGCUGGGCCUCAUCGGCGCGUACGCCGCCGGGAGCUCCCGGGAUGUGAGCACCUCCGUCUACGCCGUGGCCUUGGCCGGCGCCGCCCUCGUCUACGUGGUGAUCCAUCUCGUCUUGCUGGACCGCAAGGACGGCAGCACACGACGGCAUGGUCGUCAAGCUCCACCGGAGGAGGAGGAGGAGGAGAAAAAGGCUGCGCAGCUGGAGAAGAGGCGCAAGCGGCUGCUCCUCUUCGCGAUCUUGGCGGCCACCAUCACCUACCAAGCCGGGCUGACCCCGCCGGGCGGCUUCCUGCUCAACGACGACGAUGGCCGUGCCGGCGACCCCGUCCUGCUCAGCAACUACCCGCGCCGGUACAAGGCCUUCUUCUACUGCAACUCGGCGAGCUUCAUGCUGUCCAUCGCCCUCAUCAUCGUCCUCGUCAACCCCAACCUCUACCGGCCGGCCAUCCGGACCAACGCGCUGUCCGUCUGCACGGCGGCCGGCAUGAUGGGGAUCAUGGGCGCGUACGCCGCCGGCAGCACGCAGCAUCUCAAGACAUCCAUCUACAUCUUCGCGCUGGCGGGGUUCGUCCUCUUCGUCGUCCUGGGGGUUGUCGUGUUCUUGGCGAUCCAUGACAGAAAUCUCAAGAGGGACAAAGAUAGCAGGAAGAAGAGUUCCACGGAAGCCGACGGCGGAGCAGAGAAACCCAUGGACGACAAUGCUGACUUGGAGAAGAACAUCAAGGCAGGGGAGCCUUCUGCUCCUGUGACCACGGUGAUGACGGCAGAGGAGAAGGUGGAAAAGGAGCUGCACGCCAAGCGCAAGUACCUGAUGCUGCUGGGCAUCCUGGUGGCGAGCGGGACUUACCAGGCCGGGCUGGCGCCGCCGGGCGGGGUCUGGCAGGACGACGGCGGGGGGCACGCCGCCGGCAACCCGGUGAUGCACGACAACCGGAGGCUCCGGUACCUGACCUUCUUCUACAGCAACUCCAUCUCCUUCGUGGCGUCCGUGGUGGUCGUCGUCCUCCUGCUGCCGCCGUCGCUGCACAAGAAGUGGUGGUGGCGCUGGUGGCUCGGGGUGAUGAACACGACCAUCGUGUUGGACCUGCUCGGCCUCCUCAUCGCCUACGCGGCCGGCUCCAGCCGGUCGUGGAAGACCGCCGGCUACGUCACCGCCCUCGUCGUCGCCGUGCUGGCCUACUUCGUGGUCCACGUGGCGUUGUCGUGCUUCUUCAGGAGGGGCCAAGAAGACAUCCUCGGCAACUCCGGCCAGCAGAACGAAGGGGCAAACGGACAGGUCCAGCUCGCUCAAGCUAGCUGAAGCUGGGUGUUUGUGCAGUUUAUUUUCUUUUCUUUUCUUUUCUUUUUUCUGUCCCGUUCUGUAGAGUAGCGUGCUGCCUCUGUUGAUGUGCUCUUCUUGUUUAGUUUUCUCCCCCUUGUCAGGCCUUCAGCUUUCUGAGAUCCAAUGGUGAGGCACUUGUGAAUGUGAUGAGUUUCCUUUUCCCUAGCUGCAGCAUCUUACCCUGCAAGCAAGGCCUGUUUUACUUGCAAAAUUCUAAAACUAUCACAUCGAAUAGAAAUUUUAUAUGCAUGGAGUAUUAAAUCUAGACGAAAUAAAAAAGAAGAAAGCUAAACGUUGCUCAGGUGUUUGUACGGGCUCCAGCACCCGAAUUUUGCAACGUCCGAUCUUUGGCUGAGUUGUUCCUGUGCGUUGGAUGUAUGUGGUGGUUGUCGGUUUUUUUUGUCUGGCUGCAUGUGGUGGGACCCACUUGUCAGUGUCAAUUGUUUGAUUUUUUUAGGAACCGCAUGUUUUAUUUCGUUGAUUCCUUUCCCCAUUUCUUCCAUUUCGCUUUCCCCUUUCUGUUUUGCCGCUCUCUUCUCGUCUCUUCCUGGUAGCUCUCAUUCUGCUGCUCAGGUCAGGCGAUUUGCUCUUCCUCCUCGUUGCUUCUAUUUGGUUGGUUAAUUUGAUGUUGUUUGUGCAUCGAUUGCUCCUUGCCUUGUUGUUAAUUUCGUUCUUAUUUUGUUCUUCUCCCCCUAUCUCUGCUUAGUUUAUAGGUGGUUUGGGAUGGCGAUUCAUAGAUUUCUCUCCUAACUCGUGCUUUUCGCUCAUGUAUUUGUAGGUGUUUACUGUGUAUUGUUUGAUUUCUGCGCUUUUCCCCUUCGAUUUGGUGCCCGUUUAUGCUCGUUGUAACCCCUCGCUUCUCUGCUUAUGCUCCUCGAGCUCACUUUGUAUGAUUGGCUUUGUUUAGCUUCCCCGCAUUUUUUGGUUACUUCCCUUGUCGAUUUUGAAAUUGUUGCUCCUGGGUUGCUUGCUUUCUAGUGUUGUUUUUUUCUUCGAUUUUUUUGCUGUAAUUUUUUAUACUAUUAUUUGUUCCUCAGUUGUGUUUAGUUACAAGGAUACUGUCGAUUUGCAGAUUGUUCCCUGUUAUUGUUGAUUUCCAGUUAGUUUAUUCAAUUGAUGUUAAUUUUCAACUAAAGAGUUGCAGAUCCUCCCUUGUUAUUGUCUUCUAGAACGUUCUCUUUCAAUGAUUUGUUCCUGUUUCUGUGUAAUUUAGCUAGGUUUUUUGUUGAAUCAAUUUUCUGUAGAUUUUUUUGAUCUAUCUUAUUCGAAGCAAUGUUUUACUUUACUCUGUGUAAUUUUUUUUCAUAUUAGCUUAGUUCUUACCUAAUCCUUUUCCGUUCAUGCAGUUCCCCCUCAACCUGCAACUUUGUUAGUUUAGUGAAAUGUUUGGUUUGAUUUGAAGACCCCCUAGACCCCUUAACGUUGUUAAUACUGAUUUAUGAUGGUUUCGUUGAUCUAGUCAUACCUUAUCUCUUUAUUCUCUAUAUAUCUUAAUUUCAUGGUUGUGUAGUACUAUGAAUUUCAUAGUUAUGUAUUGCUAUGACUUUCCGUUGUUUUGCUUGGUUAGAUGUUUGAUUUCUAUUUCGUACUGACCCUAUUAAUUUGUUUAUUAAAUUUUUCUAAUUUAGUUCUAUUUCGUACUAACCCCGAGGUGCUCCAUCGCCUGCCGCUUCGGGAGCUUCGUCAGCGCCUGAGCUGGCCCGGGGUCGGGUGAUUGGGCUUCGAGGAGCGCUUGCACCUCGCUGGUAAUCGCGAGGCCGAAUGCUACGCUGGGAUGGAGAUGUUGAUGACGCGCGGGAUCGCGCCACCGGGCUGGCGCUCGUCAACCAAGCCGCUGUCGCUAGGGACUCCGGCACGGCGUACUUCUUGGCAAUGCUGCAGUACCGUUUGAACCCCGCAGACCACGAAGCGCUAGCGCUGCUCCAUGGAAUCAGCGGCGGCCCGUCGCUCAGUGACGGCCGGUGGGAGAACCACGGCCUGUCGCUGCAGCGAUACUUGGUCCGGCAGGACCUCCACACAAUUGCCUACCGGCUCUAGCUUCCGGAUCGCGAUGUCGACCCAUCAGGGAUGCUCAUCGAGGGUCCCCAUGUCUGCACAUGGGCGCAAUACCGGCGCUGGGGGGAUGCGAGGAGUUGCAUCAUCCGGUAUUGUAGCGUGGAGUGCCGCAUCCGUCAUGAGUUCGACCUCUGGAUGCGGUACUUCAAUGGCCCGGUGAGUUACGCCUUCAGCAGGAUGUGAGACGCGCCGCAGCAUUGUCGGAGCGUGGAAACAAGCAAGUGAUGAUGCUUGGUGCAAGUUGUAUAUAUGUUGUGUGUCUGUGUUUGUUUAAUUAUAUAUGAUGUUGUGGUGAUGUAUCGUAUAUCUAGCUAGCUAUCUGGAAUGAUCGGAUUUGUAUUAUAUUAUAUACAUAUAUCUAGCUAUCUGGCAUGAUCAAA